rnacentral:misc_RNA from 1 species
GCCAGUCCCACCCCCGUAGCCGCCGCCGGCUAGUCAGGCACGCGCGACAUCUCAGCAAGGGCUCGAAGUAUAAUCGCGGGCGAUUGAGACCCUACCCUUAGCUCUGACUGGGGCCACGGGUGCAUAGUUGCCGCGGACAUGAACCACCGCCACUAAGUCGGUGAGGCUGACCCGCGACCUCGGAAGCCGUUUGCAUUGAUAGCCAAGCGC